rnacentral:rRNA from 1 species
AGCGAACGCUGGCGGCGUGCCUAACACAUGCAAGUCGAACGUGAAAUGGGGCAACCCAAAGUAAAGUGGCGUACGGGUGAGCAACGCGUAGGUAAUCUACCAAAGUGUCUGGAAUAACCGGCCGAAAGGCUGGCUAAUACUGGAUAGAGCGACGGGAUCCGUAAUUGGGUCUUUCGGAAAGGAGGCAGCAAUGCCCUUCGCACUUUGAUGAGCCUGCGUCUCACUAGCAGUUGGUAAGGUAACGGCUUACCAAGGCAUUGAUGAGUAGCUGGUCUGAGAGGAUGAUCAGCCACACUGGAACUGAAACAACGGUCCAGACUCCUACGGGAGGCAGCAGUGGGGAAGUCUUGCGCAAUGGACGAAAGUCUGACGCAGCCACGCCGCGUGAGUGAAGAAGGCC